GACUGAGCAAAGGCCAGGUUCCCAGAAGAAAACAGGAGCGGAGUGAGCAGCCCUCAUCCCCAGUGCGCACCUCACGGUCCGGGUGCACUGUGGGGCUGGCGAUGAGCCCUGCACUGUCGUCUGCAUUCCUGAGGGAGCUCCCGGGCUGGUUCCUGCUCUCCGGGGUCUUCCUGCCUGUGGCUUUGCUGCUGCUCCUCCUCAUUGCCUACUUCAGGAUCAAACUGAUGGAGGUCAAAGAAGAACUGUCCCAGAUUCCUGAUCACCGACACAACAGCAAGGCUGGCUCUUCCCUGUACCAGCGUAAGAAACGAACGUGACCCUUGGGGACCGAUCAAUGGAUAGAGUGCACUGAACUUCUGCUCAGAGAGUAGUGGUCAACCGCUUAGCCUGCACUGGUUCAUAAAUAAGAGCCACAGCAAGAUGCUUGUUAUGAACCAUAUCGAAAAGUGGCAACUAUUGUCCAAGACUUCUUUGAGACUCAGCUCAAAUAGCAGUUCUUCAGAGAGCCCCAAGAUUGUAAGAUUUUCUUGGAUGUGUUUUAUGGAUUGGACACAUUGUAACUUUCUAACUUUUAUAGACUAUGCCCACUCUGAAGGGCAUAUUUUAAAAAUAAAAUCCCUAAACAUCAACAUCACCUAAUCCUGUGGAAGCCCACAUUAUUUUAGAAGUAAAGAAGCUGGUAGAAAUCAAUCACACUGCAGAAGGCAAAUGGCCCGAGCAUUUCCUGUGAGAGGAUUUGACACCUCCUCCUCCUGCACUUCAACAGCUCUUGACACUUUCAUAAGCAUCAUCCUGGCCCUGCGUUUGCUUCUCUCCUUCUCCCAGUUGCUUUCACAACCACGUUACCAAAUCACUGAACGAGUGCCGUCUCUGGACACUGGGUAUGGCGCACCCACGCAUGAGGCUUUCAGCACGACUUGACUUGGAAAUUCUGGCAAUUUGGUGUUGGCAAAAGGAGAGCAGAAUGUUCACCUAACUCAUGAGAGAAUAAUUCAAGACUUUGCCUUUAAAGCCAAAACAUCAGGGAGCCAAAACAUUCCUAAAUGAGGAAGGAAUUCAACAUUUCGCUGGCAGAAUUCUCUCAGUGAGAGCCCCAAACAGCCAACAUAGAAAUCUUAAAUAUUUCAUUCAAAGUGGUAGUUAAAAUAGUGAUUACUAUUUUCCUAGUUAACAUGAACACAAGAUGCUUAACAUGUCCUAAGUGUCAGUCUGUUUAUAUUCCAAUAUUUGUAUAUGAACCUAACAGUCUAUUAGAGUGAUGAACUUUAUGAAACAUAACGAAUUUGUUCACCUGUAAGAAUGCACCAAUUUCCAUAGUGACAUACAAUCAUACAAAAGAUCGUAUGGAUAAUAAAAAAAGCAGGAAUCCACCACCAAGGCUGGAUAUUUUCUGCUUCUUCCCCCUACCCUCAAAUUCUUCAUAUGCAUCCAGGGAGCUAUUGGUUUCUCUUUGCACUUCUUGAAAAAAAUACAAAACUCACCCUCUGACUGAAGACCCUCAGUUCUGUGUUUUUGUGCAUUUGAUCACAAUGAAAAUGUGUGCUGGGGCUUUCAGACUGGGGUAAUUUAGAACAGCAGUGUUCAUGCCAUAUGGAAGAACAGUAUUCUUUCAGUUCUGGGAGGGAUCUCUUUUUAGCCUCUGGUGGAAAUCAGCUUGUGUAAAAAUGCUCUUUGGAACAGAAGGCGUGAAUGGAUGCAUCGUAUUUCCAGCUGCCAGCCAAAUCCGUGGUUCGGCCACCAGCGUUUGUUCACCUUUUGGAGAUGAGCACUUCAGAAGCCUGACUUUUGGCUUCAGUGGAUGCCAUUCCACCAUCUCAGCCUUUCCAGCCACGGUGGAAAUACAUGGGAUCUAAACAUCCAUGUUAUCGGUGAUAAGCAUAACCAGCUAGCUUAAAGUAAGACCUAUCUCUUUUGUUGCUGUUGAAUGGAACGAGAGCAGGGAAUUUCCAGUGAAAUCCUGAAUAGAGCUGGACUGUUUUUCUAUGUAGACAGGAACAGAAAUAUGUUAGUUGUCCCAUGGAGCGACCAAGUCCAAGGGUUUUGCUAUAAUCUGCUUGCAGGCACUGCUACUCAAUCUGACAGCGCUUCAGAGCACGGCCAUACGGCCGCACGGCCAUGCCUUCCUUCUUUGGUGCCCAUGGUCCAGUCAAUGAAGAACGCGGUCCGGCUUGGACUGCUUCAGAUCUUCAUCGCGGCUGCCACCUCGACCAGGCCAACAGUCUUCCUACUUUGUCUUACAUCACCCUUAACCAGGGAUCAAAUGCCCCCACAAGCCUGAAUGGCCUUUCAUUUCCUAGUCUUACUUCCCAAAGUUCCUAACCUUAUUUCUAAUGUCCUUGAACCUGAACAAAUACCCUGUGGCUUCCCCAAUGUGAGACUUUCAAUAAAACACCUUACGUUUUGUUAUGUUGUCA